rnacentral:rRNA from 1 species
GAUGAACGCUGGCGGCGUGCCUAAUACAUGCAAGUCGAGCGAACGGACGAGAAUCUUGCUUCUCUGAUGUUAGCGGCGGACGGGUGAGUAACACGUGGAUAACCUACCUAUAAGACUUGGAUAACUUCGGGAAACCGUAGUUAAUACCGGAUAAUAUUUUGAACCGCAUGGUUCAAAAGUGAAAGACGGUCUUGCUGUCACUUAUAGAUGUAUCCGCGCUGCAUUAGCUAGUUGGUAAGGUAACGGCUUACCAAGGCAACGAUGCAUAGCCGACCUGAGAGGGUGAGCGGCCACAAGGGAGCGGAGACACGGACCAGAAUCGUAAGGGAGGCAGCAGUAGGGAAGGUGCCGGAAGGGGCGAAAGCCUGACGGAGGAACGAAGCGGGAGUGAUGAAGGGCGUCGGAUCGUAAAACGCUGUCAUGAGGGAAGAACAUAUGUGUAAGUAAGUGUGCACAUCCUGACGGUACCUAAUCAGAAAGCCACGGCUAACUACGU